UACGUAGGGCGCAAGCGUUGUCCGGAAUUAUUGGGCGUAAAGAGCUCGUAGGCGGCUUGUCACGUCGGGUGUGAAAGCCCGGGGCUUAACCCCGGGUCUGCAUUCGAUACGGGCUGGCUAGAGUGUGGUAGGGGAGAUCGGAAUUCCUGGUGUAGCGGUGAAAUGCGCAGAUAUCAGGAGGAACACCGGUGGCGAAGGCGAAUCUCUGGGCCAUUACUGACGCUGAGGAGCGAAAGCGUGGGGAGCGAACAGG
rnacentral:rRNA from 1 species